UGCUAAGAUUUUUUCCUUGCAUAAAUAAGACCAUCUUCUUCAGCUCAGAAUGCACAGAACUCAUUAGCCUCUCUCUCUCUCUCUCUCUCUCUCGCUCUCUGUGUGUACUGUUUGUCUCUCUCUCUCUCUCUCUCUCUCUGCAUAUUAGAAAAAGAAAAUGGCGAAGAUUGUCGAAAGCAUGAAGAAAGGCUUACUUAAUCUUGUCGAAAUUGUAACAUGUGGCAGCACAGGCGCGAAGGAAAAUGAUGGUGAAAUACCAAAGCUGAAAGUUGAGAUAAAAUUAGAAGAAAAUUCGGAUAGCCGUACGGUUGUAUCAACUUAGAAGAAAAUAUUUAUCCAUGAAAAAAAUGACCCUAAUACAUCUUGUCUUAUUAAUUUAUUUCAGUUAUUGAAGUGUCUUUGUUAUGUAAUGUUGCCGGAUUUGGCACUUGUAGUAAGUCUUUAAUGAAAGUUCUGUUUGAGAGAUCAGCUUUCAAAUGUUAGAAGACUCCUUAGACAUAUCGUCUAGGGGAGUUUGGUUGAAUUUUCA